UACAGAGGGGGCAAGCGUUGUUCGGAAUUACUGGGCGUAAAGGGCGCGUAGGCGGCCGCCUAAGUCAGACGUGAAAUCCCUCGGCUCAACCGGGGAACUGCGUCUGAUACUGGGUGGCUUGAAUCCGGGAGAGGGAUGCGGAAUUCCAGGUGUAGCGGUGAAAUGCGUAGAUAUCUGGAGGAACACCGGUGGCGAAGGCGGCAUCCUGGACCGGCAUUGACGCUGAGGAGCGAAAGCGUGGGGAGCGAACAGG
rnacentral:rRNA from 1 species